rnacentral:rRNA from 1 species
AUUGAACGCUGGCGGAAUGCUUUACACAUGCAAGUCGAACGGCAGCAUAGGUGCUUGCACCUGAUGGCGAGUGGCGAACGGGUGAGUAAUACAUCGGAACGUGCCCAGUCGUGGGGGAUAACGUAGCGAAAGUUACGCUAAUACCGCAUACGAUCUACGGAUGAAAGCGGGGGACCGUAAGGCCUCGCGCGAUUGGAGCGGCCGAUGUUAGAUUAGGUAGUUGGUGGGGUAAAGGCUCACCAAGCCGACGAUCUAUAGCUGGUCUGAGAGGAUGAUCAGCCACACUGGGACUGAGACACGGCCCAGACUCCUACGGGAGGCAGCAGUGGGGAAUUUUGGACAAUGGGCGCAAGCCUGAUCCAGCCAUUCCGCGUGCAGGACGAAGGCCUUCGGGUUGUAAACUGCUUUUGUACAGAACGAAAAGCUCUGGGUUAAUACCUCGGGGUAAUGACGGUACUGUAAGAAUAAGCACCGGCUAACUACGUG